rnacentral:rRNA from 1 species
AACGAACGCUGGCGGCGUGGAUAAGGCAUGCAAGUCGAGCGCGAAAGUCCCCUUCGGGGGAUGAGUAGAGCGGCAAACGGGUGAGUAACACGUGAGUAACCUGUCCUUGGGUGGGGGAUAACCCCGGGAAACCGGGGCUAAUACCGCAUGAUGUUGUUCCCACACAAGUGAGAAUAACCAAAGGGGGGGACCUUCGGGCCUCCCGCCUGAGGAGGGGCUCGCGCCUGAUUAGCUAGUUGGUGGGGUAACGGCUCACCAAGGCGAUGAUCAGUAGCCGGUCUGAGAGGAUGGCUGGCCACACUGGGAUUGAGAUACGGCCCAGACUCCUACGGGAGGCAGCAGUCUAGAAGCUUCGGCAAUGGGCGAAAGCCUGACCGAGCGACGCCGCGUGCAGGACGAAGGUCUUCGGAUUGUAAACUGCUUUCGACGGGGAUGAAAGGUAAGAGGGCGAAUACCCCCCUUAUUUGACAGUACCCGCAGAAGAAGCCCUGGCUAACUCCGUG